rnacentral:tRNA from 1 species
GUCAUUCCCCUGCAGCUCAGUUGGUUAGAGCAUGGUGCUGAUAAUGCCAAGGUUGCAGGUUCGAUCUCCGUAUGGGAUGGCU